CUUGGUCAUUUAGAGGAAGUAAAAGUCGUAACAAGGUUUCCGUAGGUGAACCUGCGGAAGGAUCAUUACAGUAGUCGCCCGGGUUGCCGCAAGGCCUCCCGGGUAACCUACCACCCUUUGUUUAUUACACUCUGUUGCUUUGGCAAGCCUGCCCUCGGGCUGCUGGCUCCGGCCGGCGAGCGCUUGCCAGAGGACCUAAACUCUGUUUGUUUAUACUGUCUGAGUACUAUAUAAUAGUUAAAACUUUCAACAACGGAUCUCUUGGUUCUGGCAUCGAUGAAGAACGCAGCGAAAUGCGAUAAGUAAUGUGAAUUGCAGAAUUCAGUGAAUCAUCGAAUCUUUGAACGCACAUUGCGCCCCCUGGCAUUCCGGGGGGCAUGCCUGUCCGAGCGUCAUUACAACCCUCAAGCUCAGCUUGGUGUUGGGCCCCGCCGCCCCGGCGGGCCCUAAAGUCAGUGGCGGUGCCGUCCGGCUCCGAGCGUAGUAAUUCUUCUCGCUCUGGAGGUCCGGUCGUGUGCUCGCCAGCAACCCCCAAUUUUUUUCAGGUUGACCUCGGAUCAGGUAGGGAUACCCGCUGAACUUAAGCAUAUCAAUAAGCGGAGGA
rnacentral:rRNA from 1 species